ensembl:lncRNA
CCCCACUCACCACCCAGGGACAGCCAGGGGCCAGAGGACAGCCUCCGGGGCCGCGGCUGGGAGGCCUGUCAACUUGGCAGCCACCUGGCCUGAUGGAAGGGACAGCUGUGCGUGGGGGGAGGGGGGAAGGAAGAAGAGCGUGUUCAGUUUCUAGGGACGGAACUACUGCCUGGGAUGCACUUAAUUUAGCCCAAGUCCGGGGAGGUGGGCAGAUUAAGGCACGUUGCGUGUAGUUCUUUCCCGAAGCUGGGGGCCGCGGCCAGGAGCCAGGGUUUGGUUUAAGUGUGUUACUGGCCAAAGGGGCCCGAAGCCAACCGCAGAGACGGGUGAGGUAAACACCCACUUGGGUCAGUCCUACCUCCAGCAGCACAGGACAGCCUGACCUCGCCUUCCCCAGGGCCACGUUGAGCCAGAGGAGGCGGCAUGCCUGUCUCCCCUCAGUGUCACAGCCUGCAACUCCCUUCCGUAGGUAUGGUUGGUCUCAUUGGGUUCCACAACCACCUGCCAGGGAGAUAAAGUUUCCAUUUUAAGGAUGGAGAGGGAAGCUGCUAGGGCAGAAUAAGCUUGCAGGGGCCGUAGGGGGCAGCUGGAACAAGGGCCCCAGCUCCAGCCCUCGCUCUUCAGUCCCCUGCCCAUUUGAUGGAAGGAGACCGACCCACUCAUCUCCUUCCCCAACUGUAGAAUGGGCCCACAGGGGAGGCAGAACAUCCCCUCCAAGCCUGCACUCAGGCGCCACGCUGAUGUCAAGAAGGCAGAGCGAGCCCAAACUGGGAAUCACAAGAUCUGGGUUUGAUCCCUGGUGCAGCUGCAGAUUGGGCAAGCCACUGCUGAUCCCUGGGACUCAGUUUCCCCACCUAAACAGGCCAAGCCCUGUCCAGUUGAUGGUGUUCAGGAGGGCUUUGGUGGGGGCUCAGGCACAUUAGGCUUCAUACAUCACAGUAUGUGAUGGAGCUUCAGAGGCUCCCAUGGGAGCUUGUUCUCACCCUUUUCCUCCUUCCCACUUUCCUUCUCUUCCCAUCUCCUUGUCCCUCAGCCCCGGGGCCACGGGAUCUGAAUAAAGGCCAAAGCAAGUCAGACUCUCCAAGACGCACUGCCCAGCCACUGCCCCGGCAAGCAGGGCCCAAAGAAUUAGGACCAGGCAGGUGGGAACAGAAUCGGCGGCUGGGACUACCUUAUCUACCUGAUGGAGGCCCAGUGGAACCAUUGGCUGCAUCACUAGGGGAGGGCACUGAGGACGAGGGAGGAGGCAACAGGCUUUGCCAAUUACUCCUGGACUAUUGUGCCCAGUUCUCACAUCGCGAUGUGUCCAGAGGAAAAGAGCAGCUGACCCAGGAAGCAACAGGCUGCCCGACAGUCGGAGACCGUGGAAAGAAGAGCGCGUGGAAGGAAGAGUGGCAAGAAAUUACGGAGAGAUCCUUUUAAACUGGACAGAGGAAAGAUGUUCUCGGAAUCAGAGAUGCCCAAAUAUAGAAAGUGAGCUUCUCAUUACUGCACACAGAUGUUGAAUCAUCAUUAGCCUGGGAGGUGAUGGAGAGGAUUACUACAUUUGAGUAAAAAUAAGGAAAUUAAGUAGAAAUAAUGAAAGUCAUUUUACGUUUAUAGUACUUGACAUUUAUUAAGUUGUUUUGAAGGGGCCCCUGGGUGGCUCAGUCAAAAGAGCGUGCAAUGCUUGAUCUUGGGGGCGUGAGUUUGAGCCCCAGGUUGGGUGUGGAGCCUACUAAAAAAAAAAUAAUAAAAUUUAAAAAAUAAAAUUAAAACA